UACGAAGGGGGCGAGCGUUGUUCGGAUUUACUGGGCGUAAAGGGCGCGCAGGCGGCUCAUUUUGUCAGGCGUGAAAGCCCCGGGCUUAACCUGGGAACUGCGUUUGAUACGGAUGGGCUAGAGUUCGGGAGAGGAGAGUGGAAUUCCCAGUGUAGAGGUGAAAUUCGUAGAUAUCGGGAGGAACACCAGUGGCGAAGGCGGCGACCUGGACAGAUAUUGACGCUGAGGUGCGAAAGCGUGGGGAGCAAACAGG
rnacentral:rRNA from 1 species